rnacentral:rRNA from 1 species
AUGCGUGCCCUCUUCUGGAACAUCCGCGGUUUCGGCCAUGAUGGCCGCCGCCGCCAACUCAUUGAGUACAUGCGAGAUGAACACAUUGACAUUGUCGCCAUCCAAGAAACCAUGCGCAUGGAAUUCUCCCAACCGGAACUCGACCGCCUUAGCACCCACCUCUUCGCCUGGCAUUGGCUCCCUUCUAGUGGGAGCACGGGACAUUCCGGUGGCAUCCUAUUAGGCGUGAAGGAUGCCACCUUCGAGGUGGGCAGUAUGGACCGGGGCCAGUUCUUUGUUAGCAUGGAGCUUUUCGAACGCGCUCUCAACUUCAAGUGGGAGGUUAUUAUCGUCUACGGCCCCGCCGACCACAGUCGGUCCUCCUCCUUCCUCGAGGAGCUCCACCGGAAGGUUUCGGCUGCUUCACUUCCGGUGGUAGUUGGGGGCGAUUUUAACCUCCUGCGUUUCGCGGAAGACUAG